GCAUCUCCUNCACACACACACACACCUCUGGCACAAAGAUCUGAGAUCGCCCUGUGCAAAAAGUAACAUUCAAAAGCUCAUAAUCUUGUCAGCGCUGACAUGUGAAUUUUAUUAAUCGAUACUGAAUCAAUACAUUAUAUUUCUCAGCAAGGAGGGGGGUAAAAUUGCUGUUUUUAAGUAACUAAACGCAGCUUCAUUGUUUGUAGAGAGAGACAGACGCAGAAAAUUUACAUCUCUCCCUCUCUCUCUCUCAAAGUGGCCAUAUUUGAGAAAAAAUAAAUUACGGUAGUUUGCAUCACUGGUUAUAGCUGUCGUUCAUUUAACAUUUCUAUCGUAAACGUAUCGUUAAAAGUUGACUAAUAUUAUAUGAUUUGCAGCUUCAUCUUACUUCAUCUUCUCUCUUCGCGUUCUGCUUCUCUGUCAACAGUAAACCCCACCUACUUUGAUUUGAUUGGCCAUCUCAGUCAUUUUGACACUGAAGAGCGCUGUUAGACUGCUGAGGCUUUGAUCUGAAGCGUCUAGUAUAGAGGUCGGGAUCGUCGCAAUGCAUUGUGGGAAUCGUGGUACGGAAGUAGAUGUACUGUAUAGUAGCGUAUAGUAGGCAGUAGGUAACGUUGCUCAUUUGGUCAUUAAUUUUGGUUAUUUUUUGGAAAAUGGUUCAGUAUUGCUGUAUUGUGAACUGCUGUAAUCGGUCUCAUGAUCGACAGGGCAAAUGCCUCGUGAAUCAUAUUAGUUUUCACCAUUUUCCUACUUGGAAAAAACACAAGGAGACUUGGUGUCUGAAAUCACCAAGAGGCGUCGGAUGGCUUGGGUCGCUGCUGUACGGAGGAAAACCAUCACCUUUGAUAAUAUUUCCACAUCCAUGCUUGUUUGCUCACGGCACUUUCACAAAGGCAAGCCAGCAUAUGAAAUGUUGCAGUGCACCUUGGUCACAAAGGGAUCAGUGGAAAUUCUGACAGAUAUCAGCGGCGUAUUUAACGGCAGCAAGCUGCAGUUGUGUCACACUUUACCACACCUUCUGCCGCCACAUCUGAUGAUGCAUCCAAUGACUCACCUGGGAGUCAGAUCAGUGUCUGUAUUUUUUGUUUAAAAUUUUUCUUUUGACCCAAUCCUGAACUUAAUUUGCUUUUUGAUAUUUUUGUGCUGACUGUAUUUACCAAUUUGAACAACUUGUUUCAAAAUAAUAAAAAAAAGAAACGAGAAGUCA
ensembl:lncRNA